AGGUGCCUAUCGACUGUAACAGCAACUCCAUGAGGAAGCUUGAGGCUGUUCCCAUGGGGGGGCUGUUAUUUUGGAUGGGCAC
rfam:Ophiophagus hannah scaffold6898.1, whole genome shotgun sequence.